rnacentral:rRNA from 1 species
AUUGAACGCUGGCGGCAUGCUUUACACAUGCAAGUCGAACGGUAACAGGCCGCAAGGUGCUGACGAGUGGCGAACGGGUGAGUAAUGCAUCGGAACGUGCCCAGUCGUGGGGGAUAACUACUCGAAAGAGUAGCUAAUACCGCAUACGAUCUAUGGAUGAAAGCGGGGGACCGUAAGGCCUCGCGCGAUUGGAGCGGCCGAUGUCAGAUUAGGUAGUUGGUGGGGUAAAGGCUCACCAAGCCAACGAUCUGUAGCUGGUCUGAGAGGACGACCAGCCACACUGGGACUGAGACACGGCCCAGACUCCUACGGGAGGCAGCAGUGGGGAAUUUUGGACAAUGGGCGCAAGCCUGAUCCAGCAAUGCCGCGUGCAGGAAGAAGGCCCUCGGGUUGUAAACUGCUUUUGUACGGAACGAAACGGCUCUGGUUAAUACCCGGGGCUAAUGGCGGUACCGUAAGAAUAAGCACCGGCUAACUACGUG